UCACUAACAACUGAUCGCAUAGUCACCAACUUGAUACUUUGUUCUAUUUUGUGGUUGCCAAAGUGUACUACUGCAACAAUGGCUUCCCUUAAGGCAAGCCAAAUCCUGUUGAUCAUAUGGGCAAGUUUCAUCGCAAUCUUGAUGCUUGGGACUCCACAUGUCAAUGCUGCUGUUCUUGACGGGGCAAUGCCAGAGCUUCGUCCAGGAAGAAGACUCCUCAACCAGUACAAUACCGAAGGCCGUGGUGGGUACAAUGGCGCAGGAAGCAGUGGGUAUCAUACCGAAAGAACAAGGCUAGAUAAGACUCCCUAAAAGAACAAGGCUAAAUACUGCACAAGUUAGAAGAGCAGAAACUGAUUCUGUUCUAUUAUAUAUAGAAUAAAAGUGCUAUGUCUUUUCUUUUUUUUUUUUGUUCUUUUUUUGGGUGAGAAGUGCUAUAUCUAUACAGUGUUAUGAGUUUUAUAGCAUAAGUUUCAAGCAGGUACUAUGUUGUUGUACUACCUGUAAUAGUUUCUAAUGAUGUUUGGAUCUUGCUUCAAUAAAAGUUUAUUUUAAUUUUUAAA